GAUGAACGCUGGCGGCGUGCUUAACACAUGCAAUUCAAACGGGAUUUACUUUAUUGAAAUUUCGGUGGAUUUAAUUUAAUUUUAGUGGCGAAGGGGUAAUUAACGCUUGGGUAACUUGCUUUAUCCAGGGGAUUAAAAGUAAAAAAUGCCUGCUAUACCGCAAUAACGGAAAAAAGCUGCAUGGCCCGGUGUAAAAAACUCCGGUGGUAUAAGAUGGACCCGCGUUGGAUUAGCUUGUUGGUGGGGUAACGGCCCACCAAGGCGACGAUCCAUAGCCGGCCUGAGAGGGUGAACGGCCACAUUGGGACUGAGACACGGCCCAGACUCCUACGGGAGGCAGCAGUGGGGAAUAUUGCACAAUGGGGGAAACCCUGAUGCAGCGACGCCGCGUGAAGGAAGAAGUAUCUCGGUAUGUAAACUUCUAUCAGCAGGGAAGAUAGUGACGGUACCUGACUAAGAAGCCCCGGCUAACUACGUG
rnacentral:rRNA from 1 species